GACGAACGCUGGCGGCGUGCUUAACACAUGCAAGUCGAACGGAAAGGCCCUGCUUUUGUGGGGUGCUCGAGUGGCGAACGGGUGAUUAACACGUGAGUACCCUGCCCUUGCCUUUGGGAUAACUUCAGGAAACUGGGGCUAAUACCGGAUAGUACCUCCUGCUGCAUGGUGGGGGUUGGAAAGUUUCGGCGGUUGGGGAUGGACUCGCGGCUUAUCAGCUUGUUGGUGGGGUAGUGGCUUACCAAGGCUUUGACGGGUAGCCGGCCUGAGAGGGUGACCGGCCACAUUGGGACUGAGAUACGGCCCAGACUCCUACGGGAGGCAGCAGUGGGGAAUAUUGCACAAUGGGCGGAAGCCUGAUGCAGCAACGCCGCGUGCGGGAUGACGGCCUUCGGGUUGUAAACCGCUUUCGCCUGUGACGAAGCGUGAGUGACGGUAGUGGGUAAAGAAGCACCGGCUAACUACGUG
rnacentral:rRNA from 1 species